AAAGAGCCAGACAUGGCCCAAAUGCCGUAAACCCCAGCUCUGUGGAGCAAAACACAGGAGGACUACUAUUGCCAGGCUAGCUCCAGGAUUAAAGGCACUGUCUCAAAGGAGUAAGGCAGAGCAUGGUAGACGGGACUUCGCAGUAUCCUAGUUUCCAUGGACAUGUGUGCACACACAUGUGCACAUGCACCACACAUGGACACUAAAUUUGUAUACAAGCACAUAAAUUUAAGAAAAAUGACAAUUUGUCGUGUCAAGUGUUCUUUUAAAAGACUUGUGGAUAUUUAACACCCCACACACCUUGAGGCGCCAACUUACGUGUUAUUGCAUUCUUGAUCUUAGGUCCAGGUCUCAUUCUCUCCUGUUAAUUCUAAGGAAAUUGCUCAUGUAUAAUCUUUUAUAAUCAUUUCACUAUGGAUAACCCCAGUUAUGGGAUGUAGAAUUGUAAACAAAAACAUUUAAUAACAGGUACCAUAAGUGACAGUACUGAUAAUAAUCACAAGGCUGGCCACAAGAGGGCGUGUAAAAUCAAAAUAAAAUUUAAAACCUUAAUUCUGCCAGGCUCUGGUUUGCUGAGAAAUUUGAAAAUUAACUCUAGUAAGUAGCCAGUUCUUUCCCCCAAAAUUAACAUAAAAUAUACUAAAGAGAAAAUGCACUCUACAUGUACGUGAGAGAGUGUGUACAGGUGCACACAUACACACUGAAGAUAAUAAACAUUUAGGCUGUUGUGAAGAACCAAAUUCAACAGUUUGAUAUGCUUUCUUACUUUUUUUUUUCAGACUCGUUACUGGGCAUCAGUAGAAGAACAUAUCCCCAAGUGGGAACUGUUUCUUUUAGGAAGAGCACCAUAUCCAAUUGGUGCUGAAAAUCAAAAUGAGGUACCAUUCGUUCAAACCGAGGCAAAGUUGUAACUUAUUCAUGUGCUCUUUGAAACUUUUUUUUUUUUAUAAAACUAUGUAAAUCCAUGGCGGGGACUUAGGGAAGAAGUUUCAUUUUGUUAUUGUUUUCUAUUGUCUCAUUGUUUCCUCAGCAGCAACGUCAGUUUGAGAGCCCUCUGAAAGGUCUCAGGUUAGAUCCUUGCACAGUCAUAGACUUGCCAAGAAAAGUGUAAAAAUUAAUGGUAAGACAUAAUGUUUGUUAAAUAUGGUAUUAAACCAGUGUUAUGUGUGCUUAAAACCCACACCCUCAUUCCCAACUAAACAGGUUGGCUGCAGGUAUCCUAAAGUUGCGAUUUUUCAUCAUUCACUUUGGGAACAGAAGCAGGAACAAGGUGCUGCCUUCCUUACAUGAAAGUCUGCCACGCUUAGCUGCUCUUGUUCAAUACUAGUUAUCAGAAAAUAGAUUCCUGGGGUUGUGUGCUUCCUACAGACUCCUCCAAGUCCUUAACUCGAAAGCAUUCAAUAUGUGGCCAGUUUGGGACAGCGCGAGUGGUUUUGAAAAAAAAAAAUCUAUGAGAGCUGGGAAUGGCUACUGAAUUCUGACAGGCUUAUUUGAAGAUUACCAACGUUGUGAAAACAAAUACCCCUUCCUAAAUGUCAUCUUUCAACUCGUCCUCCCCUCCUUUCUAUUAUUAUCUCUAAAACUUAAGAAUAAAACCCAGAAAGCUGUGGAUCACGGCCCUCUUGAGUCUCCAGUUCCUUCCUGGCUGCCGAGCACUGGGGAGAAGACAGAGCGAGCUUUCCUAGCUGUGGAGACAGCUUCUAGUGAGGGGGAGCCUACACUGUUCCACAGUGGGGAUUCCAGUCACAAAUGUGCCUUCACUGUGGUAAAGGUUCUUCUUUUGUUUUUGUUUUUUGUUUUUAUUGCCUUUAAGAUAAAAAUCUCACCCUGUAGACCAACCUGGCCUUGAAGUCACAGCCAUUCUCCUGUUUUAGCCUCUGAUAACUGAGAUUACAGGUAUGAGCCCCAAUAUUUAGGUCAUUUGUAUUUUUAAAAGAAAACAACAGAAAAAGUUAAAAUGCAUAUAAGCCCUCACUACAACAAAAACUAGUAAAUCAUCCAUUGUGUAACAUGUUCCUGUUCACUGCCAUCUUGGAAAUGUCCUGUUGAGUGGGUGUUGGUGUGGGUAACAAUAACAUUGUUUUCAUAAUAUGUGCUGGCAGAUUAGCACACUUCUCUGCAGUGUUAACAGUUGUAAUUAAGGAAUAAACAGCACAAGGUGUCAGUCCGAUGACAAUUUCAUCUAUAGUGUCACAAUACAAAAUGUCACAAAAUAUUAGAGCUGUUACAUACAUAGCUAUAAAAAGUAUCGGCUUAAGAGCUGAAGGCAUCUUUAAGAGAGGAGACAGAGAGGAGGCAAUGGAACACUGACUUAGCGGCCAGAACAAUUUUAUACAUUCUCAAGACUGUCAUGAAAACAAAUUGAUAAUUUUUUCUGUUACAUUACAGUUUGGGCUCCAGCCAUGCAGUUGAUUUAGCAGGGAAAUGCAGGUUUCUCAGCAACUCCAAAUCAGUAAACAGAUUUAGACG
rnacentral:lncRNA from 1 species